rnacentral:rRNA from 1 species
GACGAACGCUGGCGGCGUGCCUAAUACAUGCAAGUCGAGCGGAACUGGGGGGAGCUUGCUCCUUCCAGUUUAGCGGCGGACGGGUGAGUAACACGUGGGCAGCCUGCCCUGCAGAUCGGGAUAACUCCGGGAAACCGGUGCUAAUACCGAAUAGUUUGGCGCCUCUCCUGAGGCGCUACGGAAAGACGGUUUCGGCUGUCACUGCAGGAUGGGCCCGCGGCGCAUUAGCUAGUUGGUGGGGUAACGGCCCACCAAGGCGACGAUGCGUAGCCGACCUGAGAGGGUGACCGGCCACACUGGGACUGAGACACGGCCCAGACUCCUACGGGAGGCAGCAGUAGGGAAUCUUCCGCAAUGGACGCAAGUCUGACGGAGCAACGCCGCGUGAGUGACGAAGGUUUUCGGAUCGUAAAACUCUGUUGUGAGGGAAGAACACGUACCAACUAACUAUUGGUACCUUGACGGUACCUCACCAGAAAGCCACGGCUAACUACGUGCCAGCCGCCGCGGUAA